GCGCCAUAUGAUGAGAAAUCUUAUCCAACUCACGACGGUCAUCUGAGACACUUAGUGUGUAAUGGUCAGUAUUUUUUAGUUCCUGGAGAGA
rfam:Triticum aestivum genome assembly, contig: Triticum_aestivum_CS42_TGACv1_scaffold_362039_4DS